UCCCCAUCCCCAUCCCCAUCCCCGAUUCCUACCCGCCGCCCCCGGCUACCCCGGAGGACCGAGCGCCCACCCGGCCACCCACCUCGACGGCGCCCCCAAUCCCCGCCCCCGGCCCUCACCGCCGCCCGGCUGCUGGUCCCCGCUCCCAUCCGCGUCGACUCCAGGCUAGGCCACCACCGCCCAGUGCCACGGAGCGCGUCCGGCGGCCGGCCCCCGCCCCGCGCCGGCGCGCGGACGGCCCACGCCCGUCCCUGCGGCCUCCGCCUCCCGCCUCCCCCCUUCCACGGAGGCCGGCGCUUAUGCAUCCCCGGUGCCACCAACGACGCCCGUAGGGGCUCCGUGCUUCCGCGGGGCUAGUGGCACACCCAAUUUUAGUCUUCGCCCAUGCCCAGGCCUCAUCCAGAUGCUCUGCACGGCUUCUCAAGCACAAUGCUUCUCCAGCUCGACGCAUAGCCACCCCGCCCCGCCAGCCUGAUGCACGGCCGCCCGCACUGCCGGGCACCUUCCUCGACGCGCCGCCCGCGCCCCGAGCCGGGGACACAUGGCCGCCCUCGCUGCUGUUCACCUUCCCCGACUGAGCAGGCUGCCACCGCCAGCACCAGCUCAGGGAGUUGAAAUAGCAAAAGGCUUCACAUUUUUGCUCUUUGCUGUGGGAGAUUCAAGCUACACAGCCAGCCCUUGUGAAACAUGCUCAAGUUGAGGUAGUCUUACUUUGGAUGAAAGCUCUGCAUAAUUCUAGAUUGCUACUUUCAAAACAAGGUAGACCGCGGAGGAUUCCCAAUGAAGUAAAAAGCAAGAUUUUGGCCGCCUGGCUUCCUACAUUUACGUGAAUUCCUAUAUUUAUGUGCCCAUGUUUCUAUGUCUAGCAAACUAGGAUAUUGUAUUUGUGCUAUAUGUGAAUAUUAUCAGUGACAUCUUGUGAAUAUUUUGAUCUGGUAUUUUAAAAUGAUACGGGCUUCAUGGGCUGGUAUUUGUGCUAUAUGUGAUUAUUUGUGC